AUAGCCGUCGUGAGAGAGCAAAACGUUUGUGAACAUAGGCCCGAGAGCUGUGGUCAUUGUGCAGUGAGUCAGCCCGCUUGGCAGUGUUUUAAGCUGUAGGGGAAAUAGAGUAUGGCAGGAUAGGGGGGAGGGACGAGGGCCACUGUACAUCCGCUGUGAAAACUAUAUAGAGGCCAGGCAACUGUAGCUGUGUUGGUGGCGACGUACAUGUAGAAGGCCGGGCAGCGUGGGUUAUUGGACUGACUGUAUGGGUUAAUGGGUUGAUAGGGUGGGUUGGUGGUGGGCUAACAACACUGAUGGCUACGUAGACCAGCAAACUGACAGCGUGGGGCAGUGAUGGGGUGACAACACGCAACAGUGAACUAACAGCUUUAUUUAGUGGACUGGAGGCUGACACGACCCUCAAGUCCAAGGUUACACACACACACACACACACACACACACACACACACACACACACACACACACACACACACACGUGCACGCAGUAUCAACUAGUCCAUGAAACACUUGAAAGUUUGUAACCGCAGAUGAACAAAUAGAUAAGUAAAGGCCGUGUUUCCUCCGUCAUUGUUUAGAGAGAGAGAGAGAGAGAGAGAGAGAGAGAGAGAGAGACUAGUAAUUAAUUCCAGCAACUGUCUGUAAAUUAAUAACGAUGAUGAUGAUGAUGAUGGAGAGAGAGAGAGAGAGAGAGAGAGAGAGAGAGAGAGAGAGAGAGAGAGAGAGAGAAUAAACAAAGCAAGCCAUGAUGAGAGAGUGGUCACGUGGACAGGAUGUAAAUCGUGUGUGUGUGUGUGUGUGUGUGUGUGUGUGUGUGUGUAAAAAUUUAAUUUAGAACAAGAGAACGUAUGAUUCCAGAGAGAGAGAGAGAGAGAGAGAGAGCGUAUCAUAGCACAUUAUACGAUGAGGUGAAGCGAUCAUGUCAAUCCUUGGCUUAGCAGGCGGGUUGAACAAGGAGGAGCAAGACGUUAUUAAAGUGACCACAAGGCUACACGUAAAGCAUUGUAGUGGACGUAAGGGAAUGAGAAAGUGACACCAGCCCGCCACCUGUACAAGCAGUAGUAAACAUGACCAGUAACAGUAGGAGGAAGAGGAGGAGGAGGAAUAUUAGGAUUAAGAAUAGGACGCGUGAACUCCUUCAUUUAACACUUGCCUUGCCUAGCGCGGGGGACAAAACAGCCUGGCGGAGGGAGGGGGACGGAGUGAGGGAUGGGGAUGGGGACGCAGGGAGAGGAAGGGGAUGAAGGUCUCUGAGCCACGCUGAUGUUUUACGGCCGAACCAGGUUUUUGCAUCAGCGCCCGACAACAUUGAGUGGAGGCGGCCGCGUGGUGGAAUGCAUAGUGCGGGGCAGUGAGAGAGAGAGAGAGAGAGAGAGAGAGAGAGAGAGAGAGAGAGAGAGAGAGAGAGAGAGAGAGAAACGGUAAAUAUUGUAACACGUAUUACUUUUCCACGGAUGAUAUCAAGGAGAGUCGAAGGUCGUGUGUGUGUGUGUGUGUGUGUGUGUGUGUGCAGCAGCGUGUAACAAAGAGAUAGUGAGAUUAGCAGGGCCCGCGGUGGGUGAGUUGAGGUCGACCUUGGAGAUGUGAAAAUUGUCGAACACCGGAUACGGACUUGCAUCACCCACGGCCAAGGGAAUUCUGCUUGAACUGACUGACGCAAGCAUCCCGCGCGACCUAGAACCUUCCCCCGGCGUGCUAAUGUGGCAGGCUGCCCUUUGUAUCCCAUUGCCUCACGCCCGUCCCUAAUGAUCAACACUGCUUUGGGCUCAGAGAAACCAAAGCACAGUCAUGUCCAUCGCCCUUUGGUAAAUACAUGCGUACGCGGUAUUCAGCUUUUUGUUCUGUAAUAACCUAAUUCCUCGGAGCCCUUGGCCUGUCAUGGUGUAAAUAACUGACAUAAAUACACAAUCAAGGAUGAAAGUAUGCAGUCGUACUUAGAGAAGUGCUUGACUUGCGGGGAAUAUAAAUUAUAUAAAUGGGUCUUUCUUGUAGUGGUGAUGGUAGGGGGAGGGGUUCACUGGAGGGGACAGCCAGGCACGGGUCUUGUGACGGAGGGAGGAAGAGAGUGCAUGGCUGGGACUGUCCUAUGUGAUCCUUGGUAUGUUUGUAACUCUCCUCCUCGAAGACUUACUCAUGUUUCUCUCUCUCUCUCUCUCUCUCUCUCUCUCUCUCUCUCUCUCUCUCUCUCUGUGAUGUGUGGUUGACCCGUCCCCAGCACA
rnacentral:lncRNA from 1 species